rnacentral:rRNA from 1 species
GAUGAACGCUGGCGGCGUGCCUAAUACAUGCGAGUCGAGCGAACAGACGAGGAGCUUGCUCCUCUGACGUUAGCGGCGGACGGGUGAGUAACACGUGGAUAACCUACCUAUAAGACUGGGAUAACUUCGGGAAACCGGAGCUAAUACCGGAUAAUAUAUUGAACCGCAUGGUUCAAUAGUGAAAGACGGUUUUGCUGUCACUUAUAGAUGGAUCCGCGCCGCAUUAGCUAGUUGGUAAGGUAACGGCUUACCAAGGCAACGAUGCGUAGCCGACCUGAGAGGGUGAUCGGCCACACUGGAACUGAGACACGGUCCAGACUCCUACGGGAGGCAGCAGUAGGGAAUCUUCCGCAAUGGGCGAAAGCCUGACGGAGCAGCGCCGCGUGAGUGAUGAAGGUUUUCGGAUCGUAAAACUCUGUUAUUAGGGAAGAACAAAUGUGUAAGUAACUAUGCACGUCUUGACGGUACCUAAUCAGAAAGCCACGGCUAACUACGUG